GGGUUGUGAGGUUAAGCGACUAAGCGUACACGGUGGAUGCCCUGGCAGUCAGAGGCGAUGAAGGACGUGCUAAUCUGCGAUAAGCGUCGGUAAGGUGAUAUGAACCGUUAUAACCGGCGAUUUCCGAAUGGGGAAACCCAGUGUGUUUCGACACACUAUCAUUAACUGAAUCCAUAGGUUAAUGAGGCGAACCGGGGGAACUGAAACAUCUAAGUACCCCGAGGAAAAGAAAUCAACCGAGAUUCCCCCAGUAGCGGCGAGCGAACGGGGAGGAGCCCAGAGCCUGAAUCAGUGUGUGUGUUAGUGGAAGCGUCUGGAAAGGCGCGCGAUACAGGGUGACAGCCCCGUACACAAAAAUGCACAUGCUGUGAGCUCGAUGAGUAGGGCGGGACACGUGGUAUCCUGUCUGAAUAUGGGGGGACCAUCCUCCAAGGCUAAAUACUCCUGACUGACCGAUAGUGAACCAGUACCGUGAGGGAAAGGCGAAAAGAACCCCGGCGAGGGGAGUGAAAAAGAACCUGAAACCGUGUACGUACAAGCAGUGGGAGCCUCUUAAUGGGGUGACUGCGUACCUUUUGUAUAAUGGGUCAGCGACUUAUAUUCUGUAGCAAGGUUAACCGAAUAGGGGAGCCGAAGGGAAACCGAGUCUUAACUGGGCGUUAAGUUGCAGGGUAUAGACCCGAAACCCGGUGAUCUAGCCAUGGGCAGGUUGAAGGUUGGGUAACACUAACUGGAGGACCGAACCGACUAAUGUUGAAAAAUUAGCGGAUGACUUGUGGCUGGGGGUGAAAGGCCAAUCAAACCGGGAGAUAGCUGGUUCUCCCCGAAAGCUAUUUAGGUAGCGCCUCGUGAAUUCAUCUCCGGGGGUAGAGCACUGUUUCGGCAAGGGGGUCAUCCCGACUUACCAACCCGAUGCAAACUGCGAAUACCGGAGAAUGUUAUCACGGGAGACACACGGCGGGUGCUAACGUCCGUCGUGAAGAGGGAAACAACCCAGACCGCCAGCUAAGGUCCCAAAGUCAUGGUUAAGUGGGAAACGAUGUGGGAAGGCCCAGACAGCCAGGAUGUUGGCUUAGAAGCAGCCAUCAUUUAAAGAAAGCGUAAUAGCUCACUGGUCGAGUCGGCCUGCGCGGAAGAUGUAACGGGGCUAAACCAUGCACCGAAGCUGCGGCAGCGACACUAUGUGUUGUUGGGUAGGGGAGCGUUCUGUAAGCCUGUGAAGGUGUACUGUGAGGUAUGCUGGAGGUAUCAGAAGUGCGAAUGCUGACAUAAGUAACGAUAAAGCGGGUGAAAAGCCCGCUCGCCGGAAGACCAAGGGUUCCUGUCCAACGUUAAUCGGGGCAGGGUGAGUCGACCCCUAAGGCGAGGCCGAAAGGCGUAGUCGAUGGGAAACAGGUUAAUAUUCCUGUACUUGGUGUUACUGCGAAGGGGGGACGGAGAAGGCUAUGUUGGCCGGGCGACGGUUGUCCCGGUUUAAGCGUGUAGGCUGGUUUUCCAGGCAAAUCCGGAAAAUCAAGGCUGAGGCGUGAUGACGAGGCACUACGGUGCUGAAGCAACAAAUGCCCUGCUUCCAGGAAAAGCCUCUAAGCAUCAGGUAACAUCAAAUCGUACCCCAAACCGACACAGGUGGUCAGGUAGAGAAUACCAAGGCGCUUGAGAGAACUCGGGUGAAGGAACUAGGCAAAAUGGUGCCGUAACUUCGGGAGAAGGCACGCUGAUAUGUAGGUGAAGUCCCUCGCGGAUGGAGCUGAAAUCAGUCGAAGAUACCAGCUGGCUGCAACUGUUUAUUAAAAACACAGCACUGUGCAAACACGAAAGUGGACGUAUACGGUGUGACGCCUGCCCGGUGCCGGAAGGUUAAUUGAUGGGGUUAGCGGUAACGCGAAGCUCUUGAUCGAAGCCCCGGUAAACGGCGGCCGUAACUAUAACGGUCCUAAGGUAGCGAAAUUCCUUGUCGGGUAAGUUCCGACCUGCACGAAUGGCGUAAUGAUGGCCAGGCUGUCUCCACCCGAGACUCAGUGAAAUUGAACUCGCUGUGAAGAUGCAGUGUACCCGCGGCAAGACGGAAAGACCCCGUGAACCUUUACUAUAGCUUGACACUGAACAUUGAGCCUUGAUGUGUAGGAUAGGUGGGAGGCUUUGAAGUGUGGACGCCAGUCUGCAUGGAGCCGGCCUUGAAAUACCACCCUUUAAUGUUUGAUGUUCUAACGUUGGCCCCUUACCGGGGUUGCGGACAGUGUCUGGUGGGUAGUUUGACUGGGGCGGUCUCCUCCUAAAGAGUAACGGAGGAGCACGAAGGUUGGCUAAUCCUGGUCGGACAUCAGGAGGUUAGUGCAAUGGCAUAAGCCAGCUUGACUGCGAGCGUGACGGCGCGAGCAGGUGCGAAAGCAGGUCAUAGUGAUCCGGUGGUUCUGAAUGGAAGGGCCAUCGCUCAACGGAUAAAAGGUACUCCGGGGAUAACAGGCUGAUACCGCCCAAGAGUUCAUAUCGACGGCGGUGUUUGGCACCUCGAUGUCGGCUCAUCACAUCCUGGGGCUGAAGUAGGUCCCAAGGGUAUGGCUGUUCGCCAUUUAAAGUGGUACGCGAGCUGGGUUUAGAACGUCGUGAGACAGUUCGGUCCCUAUCUGCCGUGGGCGCUGGAGAACUGAGGGGGGCUGCUCCUAGUACGAGAGGACCGGAGUGGACGCAUCACUGGUGUUCGGGUUGUCAUGCCAAUGGCACUGCCCGGUAGCUAAAUGCGGAAGAGAUAAGUGCUGAAAGCAUCUAAGCACGAAACUUGCCCCGAGAUGAGUUCUCCCUGACUCCUUGAGAGUCCUGAAGGAACGUUGAAGACGACGACGUUGAUAGGCCGGGUGUGUAAGCGCAGCGAUGCGUUGAGCUAACCGGUACUAAUGAACCGUGAGGCUUAACCUUACAACGCCGAAGGUGUUU
rnacentral:rRNA from 1 species